AUUGGUUUGAUAUAGUAUACUCGCAAUUUUAGAUUGCAUCCGCUAUUUAUCUUGUUCUUGCUUGUUCUUCGAUUGCUUGCAGGAACAAAGACCUUCGUGGUCAGGUUGAUCGUGCUCCCGCGUGAUCAAUAACCCUCUGGAGUUGGUGUAUCGAUUGCUAAGGCACUGCCUCCUAGGCCGUAGUCGGAUCGUCAACGUCACCUCCUACCCAAAUCGAGAGUUAUCAAUCUCAUCGAAAGAUCGGGCCACCCGCACCCGUAUCAAUAGGUCCAUUGAUUGUUUGUGUAGUGUCGAUGGCUGGGUUGUCCUCUUCACGGGACCUCUUGCCAGGGUCAGGCGCCGGGGUCGGGCGCGGUGGCGGGACGGCGGUGGCUCCUUGGCUCGAUCGAGGACACGGAGAGGAAGAUUUCUCAGCAGUUCGGUUGCUUGUUUUGGUUCGCUUGGGGCACUGGAGAUGUAGGGAUUUGGGAGGAUGUAUUCAGUUGAUCCGAACUUUUUUUGUCGAUUCGGUACCAUAUUCGGUUUCUGGUUUGGUUGGUUUUUGGCACCCAAAACCAAAAAGUGGCGGUUAUUUGCUAGUUCAGCGGCAUAUUCGCUAUCUGCUAGAGUUGCUCUCAAUCAUUUAUGUUCAUUGGUAUGACUUAUGAGAGUUUGGAUACGACAUGAAUACAAGUUCGUACACUUGGGUCGUUUGUAAAUUUCUCUAUUAAUAUGUUUAAUGACAUAUGUUAUGUGCCAAAAUUAACUACAAAUAUGAGAAUGCAUUAUUAUUUUUGCAUGUGAAUUACGAUCUUUUAUUGAUGCAUAGCUAUUCUAAUCUGUCAAAAACAAUUUUUAUUAUGCUCUUAUAUCGAUGCCUAAUUGUCACCUUUGGGUCAUAGGAGGACAAGGGAGAUCAUCCAUCAUGGUUCCGAAGAGCGGGUUAAGUCCACCGUUGGAUGAUGCAUGUUGUUAGGAUUUUCUUUAUCUUAAAUUUGGUAAAUGUUCGGGUGUUGUUAUGGAAGUUUUUUAGUUCAUGAUUAUAUACUUGUGUCACUCUAUGUCGGCUCAGUGGUACGAGAGGUCCCACGGAUCCUGGACUCGUGGGUCACAUUACUGUUCCUAGAGAUAAGGAUAAGGUACAUGUCACCCGAACAACUAGGAAGAAGAUAGUCAACAUUGAGGCGCUCAAGCUAUAAAAUACCAAAGCCUAUCCUUGAGUUCAUUCAGGAAGAAGAGCAAGAGGAGUGUGAAGGCGCACAAGAUCCACAUCUUGUGCAAGAGCACCAGCACUGGAGCUGCAUCACCAACAAAGGCAAGGAGUUCUGUUGUGACAGAGCUUCUCAAACAUGUCAUAGGCUCAGGCCUCCAGCAUACAUUCAGGAAGCUCCGUCCUAGGGGGCACUACUUUACUAUCCAAGGCGGUUCCCGGUUAGCCAGCCUGGGAACAACGAUAAGGGUGUUGUCGGCGGCUCCAGGGUCGCAGCCCGACAACAUGAAGUAUGUGGGCAUGCCUCGCCAGCUUUCCAGUCUCUGGGGAUGGGCCCUGUGCGGUGGUCCCCCAAUGGACAGGAUACAUCUGCCCCCCGGAACGAACCAAUCGAUUCCUCGUGCUUAGGUGCCCAGGUGCUUCUGAGGAGGCAUUUAUUACUCCGAUAGGCGGGUGGUGAGACAAGACAACUUACCUCGUCUCGUCAACAUAGAAGGCGUUGCAUGCGAGCCAACAAGGUGAUGAACCGGCCACCUCACUUCUCCAUCGACCCAUAUCUAGUUUAGGUGGCAUAAAUGCAAGCCGGCCACUAUGGUAUCCCCUUAUACUAUAAAAAGAGGACCAAGGCCAACAUUUUAGAGGUUCGAGUAUGAUCAGUUGUAAGAUUUAGCAGUGAUUUGAAGUUCUCCACAGGGAUUGAGUUAAAGUUACUUUCCAAUUCUCAAGCUAAACUCACAAAUAUUUGAGGUAUUUGAUUGAAAUAACAGAGCAAUAGAAAACAACCGAUUCUUUCUUGGGGGUUCUUUAACUGUUGGAAAACAUGACAAAACUAACUGAAUUUACUGAAUUUAACUGAAGAAACACACAAGACAAGCAGAUCUAGAUGGACGUAGACAGCAAGUUUCAGACAAAGGAACGGAUCAAGUUAAGGAAGAACAAGUUUAUAACUAAAGGCAUGAACAAAUCACUAGGCAGAAAAGUAACAACACACAAGAACUACUAGAUAGAAAUAAUAAGACAAACAACACAGUGCAAGCCUUCAAUUAUAUUCAAGAUCUAGCAAUAGAUCAAGGUUUACAAGACAGGGGUUCAACAGAAUUACAAGAGCAGCAAGAACAUGAAGGGAGAAGGAAGAGUUAAACAAGCUUUUACAAUAUUCUUGCUGCAACAGAGGAGUUUAGGCAGGGAAGAAGAUGAUUUAGCCUAACAACACUUUGAAUUUGGUGUUGAUAAACUCCAAUCUUCAGAACUUGACACUUUCCCCAUGUUCUUCCUUCCCUCUCUUUUUUCUGGAUCUGAACUGCUCGCUCCUCUCUCUCUCUCCCUCCAUCCCACACUGGGGUUGCAUUUUUCCGGAUGAGGUUCAGAAGCCUCAAGACUCAUCCGGAGGCAUCCCGGAAUCCGGGUUGUACGGUGAGUGGCCCGAAGUCAACGUGGAGGUUGUGGCUCGUUUCACCAUCUUAAAUUGUUUUGGAGGUUCCGGGCUGUGAAACGGUGCGCCAAGGGGCAGAUUUUUGGUGGGACCUUUAAAUAGUCCCCAACCUUCUUCCCCAACGUUUGCUUCUUCUCUACUUGAGCUGAGCUACUUUCUCUCACUUAGAGGAAAUUGCAUGCGCGAUCCAUAAACUUCGCAGUGAUGUUCACUUUCAUCCAUAAACUUGCGAAUUUGAAAAACGGCCCCUUAAACUUGGCAUGUGGGUUCACUUAUAGUCCAAAUUGAUGAAUUCAGGCUAAAUUAGGCUACUCUGUCAUCUUACAUGGCUGGGGGGGUCUUCUUUUCAAAUUUGCGGCCGCUGUUUCUCUUUCAUUGAACCCCCAGUAUUUUUUGGCCUAUAGCCCGCGGUCCAGGCAGCACUACAAAGAGGUGGCAUGUUUGAUUUAUUAAAAAAAAAACCUCCCUCGUUGCGUGUUAGACCGUUGGCCUUUGUCCUCUUUGGUUACACUACCUCGCCCGAGGGAGAAGAAGUGACGGAACAGAAGGGCCGGACUGCCGGAGGCGAUUGUCGACUGAUAUGGACAUGCUAACCAUGGAUACGACCUUUGGUACCCUCAAUUCUAUAAUAUUUGACAAGAUUUAUAAUCAGGUGAAUUCAAGUAGUAAUUGUUUUCAUUGUCAUAUUUAUGAAGAGGCGGAGCUACUACUAUCUUGUCUCGUUUUAUUACGUAGGCAUCUUGUCGAGCUUUUCAAGUCCAAGGUCAAGAUGAGAUAUGAUGGAGGCGAACGGGAGGGCCAACAAGAAUCAAGCAUUCAUACAGGUGAGAGGGAAGGAUUUCAAGUGUACUUUCGAACAAAUCAAACGGCACAUGAUUCGGAGCUUGCUAGAGAAAGAUACACGAAUUAAAGUUGAAUCCGAUUCGGGUCCGAGCUGCCAGGAGACCCGAAUUUGUUUUAAUCACCCAGGCCGCAUCCGAAGUCCAAAUCAAGCAAACAAGUACUUGUUGGAAAGGUAAUUACAAGACCUUUCCAACGGAUCUGGCCCCAUCAAGAGAUUCGACUCGUGCUGACCGUGACGGACAAAACAAGCUGACGGAUCUGUUUUUCUGUUUCCUAAAGAGUUGUAGUUUGUUAGGAAAGUUAGAGAUAGAGUUGGAUUUCGGACUCCUUAUUCAAGGUGGACUAAAAUAUCUCUCCCUCCUCCUUUAUAUACCCCAUGAGCCCCCCUAAGGAGCCUUGGGUUUUGUUUAGUUAAAAGUUAGCCAUCGCUACUACUUCGUGUAAUCGCGUGUGUCGGUUAGACCACCUGUUUUACCGCUUUCGGAACCCCAACUUAUCGUCUCGUUGAGACAUUGGUUUGAUAUAGUAUAUUCGCAAUUUUAGAUUGCAUCUGCUCUUUAUCUUGUUCUUGCUUGUUCUUCGAUUGCUUGCAGGAACAAAGACCUUCGUGGUCAGGUUGAUCGUGCCCCCGCGUGAUCAAUAACCCUCUGGAGUUGGUGUAUCGAUUGCUAAGGCGCUGCCUCCUAGGCCGUAGUCGGAUCGUCAACGUCACCUCCUACCCAAAUCGAGAGUUAUCAAUCUCAUCGAAAGAUCGGGCCACCCGCACCCGUAUCACGUGGUAUCAGAGCUUAAGGUUGCUCGGUGAGAUUUUUCCAGUUUAUCCCUAGUUUAGAUCUGUUUUUACCUAUCGUCCAGAAAAAGCCAAACAAAAAUUAGAAUUAGUUACCUUGUCCUAGAACCAAUCUGAGCCUUGCAAUUUUCACUUUAAUAUUUGCAUUGUUGAAUCUUUGCUGCAUUAGUCGUGUCGAGUUGCUGGAUUAGAUUGGAUCGUUUUUCAGAUUUUUUCUACUAGAUCGAACUUGCUUUUGGUUUUCUUGUUCUUCGUGUGACGCAGGUUUCCUUCAUCAAUCUUCCGCCGCCAAACUUCCUGCCACACCACCGCCAUAAUCUCCCGCCGCCACCAUAUCUUCCACCGAGUCCCUCUUCUAGUCCUACACCGAGUCUCUCUUUGAGGACAGUCCUACACCGAGUCCCUCAUCGAGUCCUACACCGAGUCCCUCAUCGAGUCCUACACCGAGUCCCUCUUCGAGUUCUACAUCGAGUCGGCAAGUAAUAGUUUUCAGCCGCGAGUUCGAGUCCGAGUCCAAUAAGGAGUGUUUUUGGAAAGUGUUUCAUCAUAGAUCGAAUUUUGCUUAGAGAUCAAGUUGUUGGGAAAGUUGAAAAAAAAAGAAAGGAAAGAAAAAAAAAGGAAAGAAAGAAAGAAAAAAAAACGAAAAAAAAGAGAAAGAGUUCGAGUCAGUUUCGGACCCGAUUCCGAGUAGAAUUUUAGUUUCGGGUGGGUUUGACCCGUGUUCAGUAAAACGGGCGUAUCUUUUGCGUACCAACUCAGAUUUGCACGUUCUUAGACUUUUUGGAAAGCUCACGACGAGGCGCAUCAGGAAAUAUCUAGGGCGAUGCCCUACACUUUGACCCUCAAAUUCGGUUUGUAAGGUGGACUUUCGGAGCUUCCAAGUUUCUGCAUCCGUUUUCCGACGUCGCUGCAGCCCGGUGUUUCUCAGUUUUCUCCACCGUCCAAUAUCAGUUUUGAGUGAUCUUGCCCUUGCUGGAAAGCUUGUGUCCAUACCCUUCUAACCCAUAUUUUUCCAUAUUUUUCUGAAUUUUUCUUACUGCAGCCUUUGCUGUUCUUCGACAGACCGACGUACAGUUUUCCGGUCCUUCUUUUGCGUGAGUUUCUGGGGUUAAAAAGGAAAAAAAAGAAAAAAAGAAGAAGAAAAGAAUAAGAAGCCAAACAGGAGGCCACAAAAAGAAAAAAAAAGGAAAAAAAAUCCCAGGGAUGUACUUGUUGUUUCAUCUUUCUAUCCUACCUUCUUUAGUAUCUAGGCUUAGAUUAUUUCUGUAAUUCGUUCUUAUCGACUCCAGCAGCUAGGACUAGCAUUAUUGAGCAUAUUUUCAACUUUGCAUUGCUGAUUUGAUUAUUUGCUAUUCCUUGCUACUCACAAAAGCCUCCAAGCUCCACAGAUUCUACCCUAGGUUGGUUUGUUACCGAGGCAUCGAUACAUUUAAUAUUCGGAGGGCUUGGUCACGCCGCUGGCCAUCACCUUCCUGUUUUGCAUGGUAAGAACUUGUAAGAACUUGAUUUUUAGCUUGAGAGUUGAGCGACUUGUAGCCACAUCCUAGUAGUUGAUAGGAACAUAUUAUUGUGAUUUGUUUCUUGUUUUCUACUAACCAUGACGGGACUUACACGAAGCAUGGCAACUAGACCGAUGCUAUCCCGUGACCGCGAUGAGUGCUUUUCACCACGGCCAUCCUCCACGUCUCUUGUUGACAAUGCCACGGCAACGGUACAAAACAAUCCUUCUAAUACAAUUAAAUUGUGUGUACCUUUCUUUGAGGGGGGAAAUGAUGCUGAAACGUACAUAGAUUGGGAGCUAGCUUUAACUGAACAAUUCACAUGCUUCCAUGUACUAGAUAGUCGUAAGGUCCAAAUUGCUAGUAGUAAAUUUCGUUUUGAUGCAUUAUCAUGGUGGAGUGAGAUAGUUAGAGAAAACAAAAUACCUCACACUUGGAU
rnacentral:lncRNA from 1 species